UUAGGUGUAGCUCAGUGGUAGAGCACAUGUUUAGCAUGUGUGAGGGCCUGGGUUUAAUCCCUAGCAUAAGAA
rnacentral:tRNA from 1 species